rnacentral:rRNA from 1 species
UAGGGAAUCUUCCGCAAUGGACGCAAGUCUGACGGAGCAACGCCGCGUGAGUGAAGAAGGAUUUCGGUUCGUAAAACUCUGUUGUUAGAGAAGAACAGCGCAUAGAGUAACUGUUAUGCGUGUGACGGUAUCUAACCAGAAAGCCACGGCUAACUACGUGCCAGCAGCCGCGGUAAUACGUAGGUGGCAAGCGUUGUCCGGAUUUAUUGGGCGUAAAGCGAGCGCAGGCGGUCAAUUAAGUCUGAUGUGAAAGCCCCCGGCUCAACCGGAGAGGGUCAAUGGAAACUGGUUGACUUGAGUGCAGAAGAGGAGAGUGGAAUUCCAUGUGUAGCGGUGAAAUGCGUAGAUAUAUGGAGGAACACCAGUGGCGAAGGCGACUCUCUGGUCUGUAACUGACACUGAGGCUCGAAAGCGUGGGGAGCGAACAGG